UACGUAGGGGGCAAGCGUUGUCCGAAAUUACUGGGCGUAAAGCGCACGUAGGCGGCUCUGUAAGUUAUAUCUUAAAGGUGACAGCUCAACUGUCAAGUGUGGUGUAAGACUGCAGAGCUUGAGGGAAGUAGAAGAGUGUGGAACUCCGAGUGUAGCGGUGGAAUGCGUAGAGAUUCGGAAGAACACCCAUGGCGAAGGCAGCACUCUAGACUUUACCUGACGCUGAGGAGCGAAAGCCAGGGGAGCGAACGGG
rnacentral:rRNA from 1 species